GGAGGCGGUACUUCCUCCAGCAUUUGCCGCGAGUUAUUGGCAAGUUCCCCUGCAGUUGUUUGGGCUGUCGCUGUGGCUGGUUCUGCGGUGUGCGGCCAGCCAUGGAGCGCUCUGGGCCCAGCGAAGUGACAGGCUCAGACGCAUCGGGACCGGACCCGCAGCUUGUGGUCACCAUGGGCUUCACGGGGUUCGGGGUUCGGUAAAAAAGCUCACACAUUUGACUUGGAAGCAAUGUUUGAACAAACUCAAAGAACAGCUGUGGAAAGAAGUCACAAAACACUGGGCCACCAGGAACACACCUGUAGCCCAGCAAAGUUGAGGCCAUCGACUGGCUCAUCACAACAAGGAAGGCUGUGCACCACUGGGACCCAGCAGCAGCUCAGCAGCAGCAGUGAGAGGGCCUUGGGAAAGACUUGGAGGGUUUGGCUUAUACAAGACCAGAUUACAGAGGGGUAUUGAUUUGCCUUGCCCCCGCCCCCACCAUCACAGUGUGUCCCUGUCCAGUGUUGGUGCUGUGUGGCAUUGCUUGUGUCCAUAGGAGUCCAUCAAGGCAGAGCGGCAGAGCGGCAAGCAGAGCGGCAAGGCAGUUCAACCCAAUGGAAAUGGAUUGAAAGAGUGAAAGUCACUGGUCUCAAAGAAUCUACGGAAUUUAGCAUUUUGAAAAUCACAGAGCAAUUUUGGGUAGGUAUUCACAUGCACUAAAAAACCAGGCAAACAUCUGACUCCCAGGAUAAAGUGACUGAGAGCAGUAGAAGACUUGUUGAGCCUUAAGGAAUAAGAGGAAAAUUAUGUUAUGAAGUGCAGGAACAGCACAGACCCAGACGAGGGGAUGCAGCCCGGAGCCAGUAACCCGGCGCCUCCUCCUCCCCAGGGCGCAGCGCUGGCUGCUCCCCGGAUACCGUGAUCACACGUCCCAGGUCCUGAGAGCGCCUCAUAGGUAGACAGUUCUUUGGGACUUUUGGGACGCAGCACUUGAAGAGAGGUUUACCUAAACUUUCCUCCUGGGAGCCUGUCAUCAUUUGAAAGUAACAGAAGAAAGCUGUCAGGCUGAGGAAAGUUUCAACAGGCACUUGGUGAGAAUGGGAAGCAUCCAUUCAUUGGGAAAUCACGGGGACAGAGGAGGAAUUCACGGGAUCAGAGCACUGAGAAACUCCAGAGGCUUCUGGUUCACCGCCCUGAUUCCACAGAUGUGGGUCAGAGGCAGAGAUGGAAGUUGGAAUGGACAAGCCUGCCCUCUCCUCAGCUCUCCAUGGCUCUGUCCUCAGGCUGUUUCUGCAAUUUGACAUGAGGCCUGGCCCCAGGGAAACCAGUGGGGCCUCAUCUCCUCCCUGUGCUGCUCUGAGGUGGAGCCUUCUCAGGGUCAGUCCAGCUCUGGAGCCCCUCUCCAGCUCGGUCACCAAAGCUGUCUGGUCCCAGGGCAGUGUGGAGUGACAGGCACGCCAGCCAAUCCAAUCGGCCAUUUCAUACCCAAUGCAUGUGACUGAUAAAGAGAUAACACCCUGUCUCCAAGACACAGGCUUUACAUAAACAGCUUUAAUGACUUCUUCACUUAGGGACAAGACUCCUUAGUGGUGGAACCUCAGGCAUCCAUGCAGGAUGUAAGAAAGCUCCCGUAUAUACAUGAACUGAGAAGUGUGUAGAAGAGUAAAUACUGUAAUAGGUAAUAAAAUGUAUGUAUUUUUAUUUAUGUGCUACUUUGUCUUUCUCCCUCUCUGUGUAUAUACACAUACAUACAAAAAUGUAUUCAUUCUAUGGAAAACAUGAAAGAUGUAAUAUUCUUUACAUAUUUAAUUAAUGUAUUUUUUCUGAUCAUAUGAACACCACAAAUAUAAUUUUAUAAUUUUUUUACCUAACAAUAAGUCUUAAACAUAAAUAUACAUGGACAAUAUCAUAGUUUUUUUUUUAAUCAUAAUUAAAAUGGUUGUGAAACAAAAAAAAAAAAAA
rnacentral:lncRNA from 1 species